GAUGAACGCUGGCGGCGUGCCUAAUACAUGCAAGUCGAGCGAACAGAUGAGGAGCUUGCUCCUCUGACGUUAGCGGCGGACGGGUGAGUAACACGUGGAUAACCUACCUAUAAGACUGGGAUAACUUCGCGAAACCGGAGCUAAUACCGGAUAAUAUAUUGAACCGCAUGGUUCAAUAGUGAAAGACGGUUUUGCUGUCACUUAUAGAUGGAUCCGCGCCGCAUUAGCUAGUUGGUAAGGUAACGGCUUACCAAGGCAACGAUGCGUAGCCGACCUGAGAGGGUGAUCGGCCACACUGGAACUGAGACACGGUCCAGACUCCUACGGGAGGCAGCAGUAGGGAAUCUUCCGCAAUGGGCGAAAGCCUGACGGAGCAACGCCGCGUGAGUGAUGAAGGUCUUCGGAUCGUAAAACUCUGUUAUUAGGGAAGAACAAAUGUGUAAGUAACUAUGCACGUCUUGACGGUACCUAAUCAGAAAGCCACGGCUAACUACGUG
rnacentral:rRNA from 1 species